CCUACGGGUGGCUGCAGUAGGGAAUAUUGCGCAAUGGGGGAAACCCUGACGCAGCAAUGCCACGUGAGUGAGGAAGGCCCUUGGGUUGUAAAGCUCUGUCCUAUAGGAAGAACUGCGCUACGGUUAAUACCCGUAGCGUUUGACGGUACUAUAGAAGAAAGCACCGGCUAACUCCGUGCCAGCAGCCGCGGUAAUACGGAGGGUGCAAGCGUUGUUCGGAUUUACUGGGCGUAAAGCGCGCGCAGGCGGAUUAGCAAGUCAGAUGUGAAAUCCCGGGGCUCAACCCCGGAACUGCGUCUGAAACUGUUAGUCUAGAGUCUCAUAGGGGGCAGGGGAAUUUCACGUGUAGGGGUAAAAUCCGUAGAGAUGUGAAGGAACACCCGUGGCGAAGGCGCCUGCCUGGAUGAGCACUGACGCUGAGGCGCGAAAGCGUGGGGAGCAAACAGGAUUAGAUACCCCAGUAGUC
rnacentral:rRNA from 1 species